CUGCGUGCAAAAAAAAUGAACCUCAGUGCCAUAAAAUGCAUCCCAACGGAUUAAUGCAUGAGAGGCAGAGCAUAUAUGGUUGAUGAUGACCAAGAAGCAUCGACCGUCACAAUGUCAUGUAACAAAUACACUCCUACCUCAAUUUGAUAGGAGCCUCUUGCUUCUUUCCUAAUAAGAAAAGCUAAAUUAAUUAAUAUAUACAAGAUUGAUAUGCAUG
rnacentral:lncRNA from 1 species